rnacentral:RNase_P_RNA from 2 species
CUGGUACAUUGAGAUGGCCGCCCCACCCUUUUGAUUGAGCACGAAACUAUCAUAGUCGCAUGGAUUUUGGUAUCAAUCAAAAGGGUGGGGAGGAAAGUCCGAACACCAUUGCGUGCAGAAGCACGCACUAACUAUGGAUAGCGGCUAACGGCCGCCCCCGCCAAAAUUUUGCUUUGCAAAACUUAGGCGGGCGGGAUGAUUCCGACGUAAUGUCGGAACCCCGAUGCCGACGCUUCGGUCGGCACUCCGACUCAACGUCGGAGCUUCCACCAAUGUGUGCGUCGGGGGUGCCACAGAGACUAUACUAGUCCCGACGUUACGUCGGGAUGAAAGGUGAAAAGUGUCGCGUCAAACGCGACUUCCGAUAUUUGCAAAAGUAUCGGGUGGAAAACCCUAUCCGGUGCAAGGACAAACUGUCCGCGGUGCAAAUCGUGGACAAGACAAGUAGUCCGCUUCUCCUUUAGGAGAGAGCGCCGCAGAAAUGCGGCUUCAAGAUAGAUGGCUAUCGCAUCACUACUUCGUAGUGAUGACAACAGAAUUCGGCUUACGUUUGUGCCAGACAA